GGUCCUGGGGUGUAACAUGUGUGGUUGCAAACCUCAAGAAGCAGGAUGAGAUCCUGUCGGGGCCU
rnacentral:tRNA from 1 species